rnacentral:snRNA from 1 species
AUCGCUUCUCGGCCUUUUGGCUAAGAUCAAAGUGUAGUAUCUGUUCUUUUCAGCUUAAUAUCUGAAAGUUCCCGCAUGUCGGGACCAGUAUAUUAAACUGAUUUUUGUAAACCGACGGGAUGUUCGUUUUUUCUGUUUUAAAUAAAAUCGAGUCGUCACAUUUAUUUACAGAAUUGCAUAUGUACGGGGUGUUUAAUAAAUAUC